rnacentral:rRNA from 1 species
AUGGAUAUGUUUAACUCUGUUAUUAAUGCUUUUGGGCUGAGAGAGAUUUUUUGCAGUGGUCGCAAGUACACCUGGACCAACAAUCAAUCCCAUCCCACUUUAGAAAAGCUAGACAGGAUUCUGAUGUCUAGUGACUGGGAGGACCUUUUUCCUCUAGUGACAGUUAGGAAGCUGGUUCGAGAGCUAUCUGACCAU